rnacentral:rRNA from 1 species
CCUACGGGAGGCAGCAGUGGGGAAUUUUGGACAAUGGGGGCAACCCUGAUCCAGCGAUGCCGCGUGCAGGAAGAAGGCCUUCGGGUUGUAAACUGCUUUUGUACGGAACGAAAAGGCUCUGGCUAAUACCUGGGGCACAUGACGGUACCGUAAGAAUAAGCACCGGCUAACUACGUGCCAGCAGCCGCGGUAAUACGUAGGGUGCAAGCGUUAAUCGGAAUUACUGGGCGUGAAGCGUGCGCAGGCGGUGCUGUAAGACAGGCGUGAAAUCCCCGGGCUCAACCUGGGAAUUGCGCUUGUGACUGCAGUGCUGGAGUGCGGCAGAGGGGGAUGGAAUUCCGCGUGUAGCAGUGAAAUGCGUAGAUAUGCGGAGGAACACCGAUGGCGAAGGCAAUCCCCUGGGCCUGCACUGACGCUCAUGCACGAAAGCGUGGGGAGCAAACAGGAUUAGAUACCCUGGUAGUCCACGCCCUAAACGAUGUCAACUGGUUGUUGGGUCUCUUCUGACUCAGUAACGAAGCUAACGCGUGAAGUUGACCGCCUGGGGAGUACGGCCGCAAGGUUGAAACUCAAAUGAAUUGACGG